rnacentral:rRNA from 1 species
UACGAAGGUGGCAAGCGUUGUUCGGAUUUACUGGGCGUACAGGGAGCGUAGGCGGUUGGAUAAGCCCUCCGUGAAAUCUCCAGGCUUAACCUGGAAAGUGCAGAGGGGACUGUUCAGCUAGAGGAUGGGAGAGGAGCGCGGAAUUCCCGGUGUAGCGGUGAAAUGCGUAGAGAUCGGGAAGAACAUCGGUGGCGAAGGCGCUCUACUGGACCACAACUGACACUCAGGGACGAAAGCUAGGGGAGCGAAUGGG